rnacentral:rRNA from 1 species
UACGAAGGGUGCAAGCGUUACUCGGAAUUACUGGGCGUAAAGGGUGCGUAGGUGGUUUUUUAAGUCCGUUGUGAAAUCCCUGGGCUCAACCUGGGAAUGGCAGUGGAUACUGGAAAGCUAGAGUGCGGUAGAGGGUAGUGGAAUUCCCGGUGUAGCAGUGAAAUGCGUAGAGAUCGGGAGGAACACCAGAGGCGAAGGCGGCGACCUGGACAGUUACUGACACUCAACUACGAAAGCGUGGGGAGCAAACAGG